rnacentral:rRNA from 1 species
UACGGAGGGUGCAAGCGUUAUCCGGAUUUACUGGGUUUAAAGGGUGCGCAGGCGGAUAUGUAAGUCAGUGGUGAAAUCUCCGGGCUUAACCCGGAAACUGCCGUUGAUACUAUAUAAUCUUGAAUGCUGUGGAGGUAAGCAGAAUAUGUCAUGUAGCGGUGAAAUGCUUAGAGAUGACAUAGAAUACCUAUUGCGAAGGCAGCUUACUACGCAGAUAUUGACGCUCAUGCACGAAAGCGUGGGGAUCAAACAGG